AAACGGAGCGUAACUCAUGAGACGACUGACCGGGUCGUUACAAAAGCAGCUUUAAGACAAAAGUGUAUAAGUUUCUCUAGAACAUAAAAUGUCCAGAAUUAGUUAAGUAUAAUUAUUUAAAGCAGCUGUGCAAUAGCCACAAAACUCGGGAGUGCCUCAUACCUUCUCCUGGGUUAACAUAAUUCCUUACCGGUCUUAUGUAUUUUGUAGACUUAAUCGGAGUCAAUUUCCUUAAAUUGAGAUUUUAAAAUAAAUGGUGACUUGGGACACCUUAAAUAUUUAUUCUAAGUGGCGACUAUUCAAAUUAAAAUAAAUUAAUUCUUUUACAAAUAAUGUCACUUACAUUGGAAAAACUCCCUUAUUCCCUAUCCCCUCGGAAAAAAGGAGGUGUGACAAGGUCAUGGUACAAAGGGUGAUUUCGUGCAAGUGAGGACGAUGGACAUGCAUUAUGAUGUUAUAUCUAAUUUCUGUUUAUACGUUUGUGCCCUAACCUUGAGAUUUUAUUGUUGUAUUUACAUAUUUUGUGUGAUUUGUAGUUAUUAUCCUGUACAUGACCUUUAUCUCAACUUUUGUUGCACUAUCCAUGUCUUUUACUUGCUUAACUUUGAAAUACCGUGCCUUUUUUCCUGCUUUUAUUAUUGUAUUCCUGGUGUAUCUAUUCUAUUGCACUUUAGUUUACGCCAUCCUUCAUGCGAGUCAUUCAUGCCCUUACUUGUUAACUUGAAAAGAUCAUGUGUUUCCGUCUUAAUUGUUAUAUUUAUACUUAGGCCUCCAAUGUGCUAGUUAAUUGAAGAUGAUAUUCCUUGCUUUCUAGUUGUUGUUAUUACUGAUGUGCUUUCAGUUUAGCUCUUUAUCAUUGCCCACAUGUAUAUCUUUAUCCAUUUUUGUUAUUUGCAUAUUCCCUACUUAGUAACUUCUAUUAUUGUAUUUCUGUAAUAUGGUUGGCUAUGUUAUAUGAUCAUUUGGAAAGAAUAGUUGAAGCACAAAAGAUGUUGCCGUGCUAAUUGAAUUGUUACAUAAAUUUAUUUAUACAUGGUGAAGAUAAGUUAAGAGCACGAAGAGUGUUACCGUGUCAUGUGAUUUUACAAUUUAUAUUUUGGACAUAUAACUCAUACCAGGAAAAGUCGUAAAUAUUGUUCUGUGGUUUCUGUUAGUAGUUUAUCUCGCCGAGUUGUUUAUAAUACUUUAUCUGUUAUGUUUUGAACUGCUUUUACUGUUAAACUAAUGUACACG
rnacentral:lncRNA from 1 species